AUUGAACGUUUGCGGCAGGCCUUACACAUGCAAGUUGAGCGGAGCGGCGGACGGGUGAGUAAUGCCUAGGAAUCUGACUGGUAGUUGUGGAUAACGUCCGGAAACGGGCGCUAAUACCGCAUACUAUCAGAUGAGCCUCGGUGGGAUUACCUAGUUGGUGUGGUAAAGGCCUACCAAGGCGACGACCCGUAACUGGUCUGUGAGGAUGAUCAGUCACACUGGAACUGAGACACGGUCCAGACUCCUACGGGAGGCAGCAGUGGGGAAUAUUGGACAAUGGGCGAAAGCCUGAUCCAGCCAUGCCGCGUGUGUAGAGAAGGGCUUCGGAUUGUAAAGCACUUUAAGUUGGGAGGCGUUACCAACAGAAUAAGCACCGGCUAACUACGUGCCAGCAGCCGCGGUAAUAC
rnacentral:rRNA from 1 species